rnacentral:rRNA from 1 species
CCCUUAGAUGUCCUGGGCCGCACGCGCGCUACACUGAUGCAUGCAACGAGUUUAUAACCUUGGCCUGAAAGGUCUGGGUAAUCUUUUGAACGUGCAUCGUGAUAGGGAUAGGUUAUUGCAAUUGUUAAUCUUGAACGAGGAAUUCCUAGUAAACGCGAGUCAUCAGCUCGCAUUGAUUACGUCCCUGCCCUUUGUACACACCGCCCGUCGCACCUACCGAUUGAAUGGUUCGGUGAAGAUCUCGGACUUCGAUAUUUAUUCUUUAUUGGGUUUAUAUUGUGGGAAGUUAUCUAAACCUCAUCAUUUAGAGGAAGGUGAAGUCGUAACA